UGGCGGCUAUAAUCCUUCUACAGCCCCCUGGACAGUGUAUGUAAGGGUCUUGACUGCUCAGUUCCCUAAGGUCAAGGGGAGCUUGGCCAAUUCUUUUGACCACUGGGUUCCUCACAAUAAAGAAUGGAAGGAGAGGAGAAAUAUGGAUAUAAAAGAAUGUUUAGAAUUCUCAGGAUUCUAAGCAAGGACAACCCGAGAUACAGAGGUAAGGGACCCACUGAGGCCACAGGACCUCGGCGGCAGAGCGGGGCCCGAAGCCAGGA